rnacentral:rRNA from 1 species
UACGGAGGGUGCAAACGUUGCUCGGAAUCAUUGGGCGUAAAGCGCACGUAGGCGGAUCGUUAAGUCAGGGGUGAAAUCCUGGAGCUCAACUCCAGAACUGCCUUUGAUACUGGCGAUCUUGAGUUCGGGAGAGGUGAGUGGAACUGCGAGUGUAGAGGUGAAAUUCGUAGAUAUUCGCAAGAACACCAGUGGCGAAGGCGGCUCACUGGCCCGAUACUGACGCUGAGGUGCGAAAGCGUGGGGAGCAAACAGG